CCAAGCAGGCAGGAGCCGCUGAAUGUCCUGGUGAUGUUCAGAGGAAAGUCCGGGCUUCCUCCCGCGUAAGCCGAGCUUAGCUCGGCGUAAGCGGGAUAAAAAAGUAGCGGCUAACAGCCGUCCGCCGUGAGGCGCGAGGUGCGAACAGAAACGCCCGAUAUCGAAAGAGAUCGGGUAUCCCUCCGGGAUAAGCUCCAUUGGCAACAUUGGAGAUGAAACGGCUAAAUCCUUACUGGAUGCAAGAUCAAACUAUGAGAUUUGAAGCUUGAAUCUCAUAAGACAAGUAGAUCGCCAGAGCCCGCGAGUAAUUGCGGGCCCAGACAGAUGGCUCCCAAUACAGAACCCGGCUUAUUACUUGUUUGGCAAU
rnacentral:RNase_P_RNA from 1 species